CAUAGAUAUAUUUGUUUUCUUCUCUCCUCAGAAAUUUUUCCAAGAGAUUCCAGUCUAAAAGACAAAUUCAUUAAACAUUUUACAGGGCCAGUCACGUUUUCAUCAGAGUGCAGCAAGCACUUUCAUCGACUUUAUCACAAUACAAGGGACUGCUCAACACCAGCUUAUUAUAAAAGGUGUGCAAGGUUGCUAACAAGAUUAGCGAUGAGCCCUUUGUGUACACAGUCCUAGGAUGUUUGCUAUACUUUCUACUAAGGAGAGAAUUCUGAUUUGCCAAGAAAGUGCCUUGAAAUCUUCCAGGACAGAGAAGACAUCUUUUACCUUUUUGAUUUUCGUCAUUUUGUUACUAGAUGCAUUUUAUUUUCAUAUAUUUGUUGGACAUUCCAUAUUUGUGUAAAACAUUAUUUUAUUUUAAUUUGUAAAUUUGUUGCCUAUAGUUCAGACAAGCCAAUUAUUUAAAUACAUUGUAUAUAAUGAAUACUAAUAAUAUACUGAUUAAAUGUUAUAAUCAUAUGCAGGGAGUUGAAAAAAUUUUGCUAUUUCUCUUGUUCCAUUGUAUUUACAUCAUUUUGCUCAGGCUCUUACUUUCAUUAUUUGCACUAACUUGAAAUGCAGAAGUCUAUGUAACUGAAAUCUGAAUAAGCUGUGGGGAAGUUUUACUUGCCAUGGAAGAUAUUUUAUAUUAUGAAGCUUUGUUAAUAUAUAUAUUAUUGCGCAUCAGAAAAAAAAGCUCAGAAAUGCACCUUGCUUUCAGGAACAAUUGUAUGACUAUUCUGGAUUAUCAUCAGUUACAUUUGUACUGGCACUUAUGGAAAGAGUUGCAAAUAAUGUAAAUAUAAAGACUGGAAAACUGCAAUGCAGUUUUGAUGGAAUAAAGAACAUAAAAAUAAACUAUUUUCUAGGGGGGGUUAUUUACAUUUAUUAAGAGGUUACUUAUUUGAUACGCAAACUUAACUAACCUUGCAAAGUGGAAAUAAUUUUCCACUGAGAACUGCGAACUAUUGUGUUUAUUGCAGCGUUUAUUUUUAAGAGGUAAACUCUAUUCAAUGGGACGCCAAUAAAAAUGGGUCAUUCACCUACUGUGGGCAACAGAAACCUUUUGUGUGAGUGAAGAGAGAAUUAUGAAAGAGCCCCGUAGGAGAAAAAAUAUGUCAAGUUGUAUGAAACUGAAGUAUAGAAUGAAAGCGUUUGUCUUGCAACACAUUAAGGUUUCCUAUUUGUUAGGAAUCCAAAACACAGGUGCUAAAUUCUAUUUAAACUUACAUUGUGAUGAUAACAGUUAAUACCCAUUUAUCUCAACUGUUCUUUUUUUGCAAGCUUUACAAAGGUUUUUUUUAUUGCUAUACAAAGAACUUAGUACGAAAGGAGAAGUGAGGCAUUUAUGGUUAGGUGUAGCGUAAUUGACAAUGCAUGUUGAUCACUGUGCUCAGGUCACAACUCUGUUGAUUAACUGACUUCAGAAAUUCUCCCUCAGAGUCAAUCUAUCUUUUCUUUCAGUAUAGGCUUCAUGAGCCCUUCAACUUCUAUGGACAACACUUCUCUGUGUACAGACUAGCAGGAAAACUUUGAUCUGGGAUUCCUUGUCAAAUAGACAUUCAUCUACCUUAUUCUCACGUCCAGAGUGGAUUUGUUUCUUCUUUCUAAAUUGUUCACUGCCUUUCAGUAUCGAAACUGUGUUGUGACAUGCCAGUCAGUUCAGUUCACACCUUUUCCAGGUAGGGUCACAUUCUACCUGGGUAACAGUAUACUGAAGCAACUGUUUGACAUCUGCUCCAUACUCACAGCUUUUGAAUUAGUUACUCUUUCUGUAGUCCUUGGAAGGCUGUCGAAUGCUAUUUGUAUUUAUUCCUAGUAGUUAUUUCUCAAAAUUUCUCAAACUUACUGCAUUGUAUUCUUUUGACAAGAGCAAAUUUUUCAAGCCUUGUUCUAACAAGGUAGGGGGUAUUCAUACUGAAGCUACAACAUAGGUAAAAUCCUUGUUUCUGAAUGGUGAAAUAGGUAACCUUGUUUUCUUUGAGAAUUCAGAUCAGAGGCUCUGAGAAAAGCUUCUGUCUUUAGUCUUGAUUUUUUUAAUUAUUAUUAUUAUUUUGCAUUCUUUGUUUUCAUCUCAGGUUUUUGUUUUGUUUUUUUGUUUGUUUUGGUUUUGGUUUUUUUUCCC